rnacentral:rRNA from 1 species
GAACCUGCGGAGGGAUCAUUACACAAAUAUGAAGGCGGGCUGGCACCUCCCGGGGUGGCCAGCCUUGCUGAAUUAUUCCACCCGUGUCUUUUGCGUACUUCUUGUUUCCUUGGUGGGCUCGCCCACCACAAGGACCAACCCAUAAACCUUUUUGCAAUGGCAAUCAGCGUCAGUAACAAUGUAAUAAUUUACAACUUUCAACAACGGAUCUCUUGGUUCUGGCAUCGAUGAAGAACGCAGCGAAAUGCGAUAAGUAGUGUGAAUUGCAGAAUUCAGUGAAUCAUCGAAUCUUUGAACGCACAUUGCGCCCUUUGGUAUUCCAAAGGGCAUGCCUGUUCGAGCGUCAUUUGUACCCUCAAGCUUUGCUUGGUGUUGGGCGUCUUUUUGUCUCCCCUUGCGGGAGACUCGCCUUAAAGUCAUUGGCAGCCGGCCUACUGGUUUCGGAGCGCAGCACAAGUCGCGCUCUCUUCCAGCCCCAAGGUCUAGCAUCCACCAAGCCUUUUUUUUCAACU